AUUUCCCAAGGAUAGAAAUUCUGAAUUUUGCUCAGCUCUACUUUGAAGUGUAUAAUAGUUCUAUAAUGAUCUCAUCGUGCAUUAUGUAUCAUGACCUCAAUUUAAUUACAACUGUUUAAGCAAGCCCAAGCGCCUCCACAUUUUACUAAUAGAGCUGUCUCUCUGUCUCUCUGUAACUUUAUUGGCCACAAUGCAGAAGGACUAAUAGCAGUUGGUUAAGCUGUGCAACCAAACUGACUGCUUCUAAGAAUUGUCCCACAAGACCACUGCUACCCCGAAUCCCGGCCUCUCUUGAACAGAGGCUGGAAACUGUGUCAAAUGACAUAAUUGAUUUUCAGAGCCAGCUUCCUGCAAUCUCACCAAUUUCAAAAUGAUCUGCUAGAGCUCAUCUGAGAAUGUAACAGUCGCCGUCCGUGUGCCCCUGGACACUUGGCACAACAUCAGCUGGGAGACGUUUAGCAUCCCAGUCCACCAGCAAGUACCCAGAACUAUAAAACCAGAAGAAGAUCCUUGGCCUUUCGGCCCAUGCUCCAGAAAUGAACUUGCUCUCUAUGUCCUGGAUCUCAAACAAAUUAUUCCAUUUCCUGGCAGAGUAUCUUUAAAAGCAACCACUCCACUGUUUUCAGGAAGCCACCGUGCACUAGACACCUAUCAAGAGAGUUUGAUCAGUUACGGAGGCUACACCAUCCUCUCAUGAUGACCUUGCAGUAAAAGCACAUCCUGCAGCUCUCUUAGCAGGGCUCCUCCAUCAUUUGGAAUGAAGCAGCAUGUUUGUGGAACGGUGCUCUGGCCCCGUCUAGUGGUGGUUGGGCCACAGAUAGAGGUUAAUGUGCCUGCUAAUAGAGUUGGGCCUUUUAGCUCAGGGAGUAGGUGCUCGUAGUUUAAGAUCAAGAGGUUGCAGGUUCAGUCCUGGAUCCAACAACCCACCCAGGGGUGCUGUGUUACAUGUGGCUGCCUGUCUGAGGCUUGGAGCACAGUAUUACAUUUGCACAGUACCUGGAGCUACCACGAUGCCCAUCCUCCCUCACUGGCUACCUUUAUAAUGGCCAAUUGAUUUUCAUGUAAGACUGUUGGUUUUUAAAGUACUGAAUGUUCCACAACUGGGCUGUAUUCCAGACCUGCUCCUCCAGCCUUGGUUUAAUGGGUAUCUAUGCAUGCACACCCUUUAAGGAUCCCACCGCUGCAACUUGAGUCAGUCAGAGCUGGAUUUUCCGAAGAGCUCAGCUCCCAUUUAUGCUCCAAAAAUAAGCAGGCAGAUUUUCAGACGUGCUCAGCCUGUUCUUUUGAAACUCGGAUACGUCUUCCUCCAGCUUAGAGAGUGGGCACCAUUUUUCCAAAAUGUGAAAUUUCAAUGGAACUUUUUCGGGCCAUUUUUUGGAAAAAUUUUGCAAAAGGUUU